UCUUGUCCAAAUACUAAAUCUUGCCUAACCACUCCUCCAUAAACCAAAUUCUUUCAAGCUCUCUCAAAUUCUCACAACUCUUAAAACACAUAAAGAACUAGUAGUAAAACCAGAGGAUCGAAUUGAAGAUAUGUUGAGUCCGUUUUCGUCGUCACCUAGGAGAUCGAGGAAAGGAGGCAAAAAAGAAAGCAAGAAUCCUUAUUCAAACCAAGGACUUGAAAAGUUCUCUGCACUUGUCUCUGAGCUAGAUGAGAAAAGACAGAGCAUUUACGCGAAGAGGCUUGAUUCUGAUGGACCGCCUCUUGUUCGGUUUAUGUUCACUAGCUCCGGAGAGUGCGUCCCCGUAAUGAUCAAGACAAAGAGGGCAGCUGCAGGUCAGAAGAAGAAUGCUCAAGACGAUUUCAAAGUCGUGACCGAAUCAAAAACAAAGGAAGAGAAAGAAACCAAGAGAAUAGAGUCAGGAACAGAGAAGAAACAAAGCUGUGUAUUGAACGAGAAUCUGAAGAAGAUUUCGAGACCGAACCAUUUCUUACCCGUGACAGUGGUGUUGGUUCUUAUCUUCUUGGUGUUUUUCGGACGAACCGUCUCGAUCAUGUGCACUUGUAUCGUUUGGUACUUGGUUCCAAUGAUUAAGGACCAUAGCAGAAACAGAGGAUCAACGUACGAGACGAAGAAGAAAAAGAAGAAACUGAAUAUCGAGAACAGAGCAGCAUCGUUUAACCAGAAGACGGCUGUUCGUGACCAAACUGUUCUUAAGGACAGAUUUACGCAUCUGGCAGCUCCUGCUAAAACCCGGUGACAAAUUUUUGAAACUCAGUUUUUGGUUUAUCAUAUCUGAACCGUGUAAACCCAGCCCAAAGGAUAGAAUGAGAAAACAUUAAUGUGUGACAGUGUACGAGAGAGAGAGAGAGAGGCUGAUUCGUACGGUAAAGCAUAAUUUGUUCGUAACCGAGACAAAAAAAAAAAGACCA